rnacentral:rRNA from 1 species
GACAGAGGGUGCAAACGUUGUUCGGAAUUACUGGGCGUAAAGCGCGUGUAGGCGGCUUUGUAAGUCGGAUGUGAAAUCCCGCGGCUCAACCGUGGAAGUGCACUCGAAACUGCAUCGCUAGAGUAUCGGAGAGGAAAGUGGAAUGCUUGGUGUAGAGGUGAAAUUCGUAGAUAUCAAGCGGAACACCGGUGGCGAAGGCGGCUUUCUGGACGAUAACUGACGCUGAGACGCGAAAGCGUGGGUAGCAAACAGG